GAAUACUCAAUUCUUAAAUUUCUGUGUCCAAAGUUUGAUCGUCUAUUUUAUAUGUAUUUUUUUAUAAUUAGUAUUUUUAUUAUUGUUAGAAGAUAAAAUAUGAAUAAUACUUUAUACAUGACUUACCUUUUUAAAAAUUUUUAUAAAUUUUUUAAAUAAGAUGGACGGUCAAACGUUAGAUAAAAAACCC
rnacentral:pre_miRNA from 1 species